rnacentral:rRNA from 1 species
UACGGAAGGUGCAAGCGUUAAUCGGAAUUACUGGGCGUAAAGCGCGCGUAGGCGGCUUCGUAAGUCGGGUGUGAAAGCCCCGGGCUCAACCUGGGAACUGCGCUCGAUACUGCGGAGCUCGAGUACGAGAGAGGGGGGUGGAAUUCCAGGUGUAGCGGUGAAAUGCGUAGAGAUCUGGAGGAACACCGGUGGCGAAGGCGGGUUGCUGGGCUGACACUGACGCUGAUGCGCGAAAGCUAGGGGAGCGAACGGG